rnacentral:tRNA from 1 species
GCCGAAGUGGUGGAAUUGGUAGACACGCCAUCUUGAGGGGGUGGUGGGUAACCCCCGUGCGGGUUCAAAUCCCGCCUUCGGCACCA